rnacentral:rRNA from 1 species
CGAACGGGUGAGUAACACGUGAGUAACCUGCCCACAACUUUGGGAUAACGCUAGGAAACUGGUGCUAAUACUGGAUAUGUGCUCCUGCUGCAUGGUGGGGGUUGGAGAGCUCCGGCGGUUGUGGAUGGACUCGCGGCCUAUCAGCUUGUUGGUGGGGUAGUGGCCUACCAAGGCGGCGACGGGUAGCCGGCCUGAGAGGGUGACCGGCCACAUUGGGACUGAGAUACGGCCCAG